rnacentral:rRNA from 1 species
AGAGUUUGAUCCUGGCUCAGGACGAACGCUGGCGGCGCGCCUAACACAUGCAAGUCGAACGAGCGAGAGAGAGCUUGCUUUCUCGAGCGAGUGGCGAACGGGUGAGUAACGCGUGAGGAACCUGCCUCAAAGAGGGGGACAACAGUUGGAAACGACUGCUAAUACCGCAUAAGCCCACGGCUCGGCAUCGAGCAGAGGGAAAAGGAGCAAUCCGCUUUGAGAUGGCCUCGCGUCCGAUUAGCUAGUUGGUGAGGUAACGGCCCACCAAGGCAACGAUCGGUAGCCGGACUGAGAGGUUGAACGGCCACAUUGGGACUGAGACACGGCCCAGACUCCUACGGGAGGCAGCAGUGGGGAAUAUUGCACAAUGGGGGAAACCCUGAUGCAGCGACGCCGCGUGGAGGAAGAAGGUCUUCGGAUUGUAAACUCCUGUUGUUGAGGAAGAUAAUGACGGUACUCAACAAGGAAGUGACGGCUAACUACGUGCCAGCAGCCGCGGUAAAACGUAGGUCACAAGCGUUGUCCGGAAUUACUGGGUGUAAAGGGAGCGCAGGCGGGAAGACAAGUUGGAAGUGAAAUCUAUGGGCUCAACCCAUAAACUGCUUUCAAAACUGUUUUUCUUGAGUAGUGCAGAGGUAGGCGGAAUUCCCGGUGUAGCGGUGGAAUGCGUAGAUAUCGGGAGGAACACCAGUGGCGAAGGCGGCCUACUGGGCACCAACUGACGCUGAGGCUCGAAAGUGUGGGUAGCAAACAGGAUUAGAUACCCUGGUAGUCCACACCGUAAACGAUGAUUACUAGGUGUUGGAGGAUUGACCCCUUCAGUGCCGCAGUUAACACAAUAAGUAAUCCACCUGGGGAGUACGACCGCAAGGUUGAAACUCAAAGGAAUUGACGGGGGCCCGCACAAGCAGUGGAGUAUGUGGUUUAAUUCGAAGCAACGCGAAGAACCUUACCAGGUCUUGACAUCCAACUAACGAAGUAGAGAUACAUUAGGUGCCCUUCGGGGAAAGUUGAGACAGGUGGUGCAUGGUUGUCGUCAGCUCGUGUCGUGAGAUGUUGGGUUAAGU